GACGAACGCUGGCGGCGUGCCUAAUACAUGCAAGUCGAGCGAAGUUUUUCUGGUGCUUGCCCUAGAAAAACUUAGCGGCGCACGGGUGAGUAACACGUAAAGAACCUGCCUCAUAGACUGGGACAACUAUUGGAAACGAUAGCUAAUAACGGAAAACAGUAUUUCUCGCAUGAGAGAUAUUUAAAAGUUGGUUAUGCUAACACUAUGAGAUGGCUUUGCGGUGCAUUAGCUAGUUGGUGGGGUAAAGGCCCACCAAGGCGACGAUGCAUAGCCGACCUGAGAGGGUGAUCGGCCACACUGGGACUGAGACACGGCCCAGACUCCUACGGGAGGCAGCAGUAGGGAAUCUUCCGCAAUGGGCGAAAGCCUGACGGAGCAACGCCGCGUGAGUGAAGAAGGAUUUCGGUUCGUAAAGCUCUGUUGUUAGGGAAGAAUGGAUAUGUAGUAACUAUACAUGUAAGAGACGGUACCUAACCAGAAAGCCACGGCUAACUACGUG
rnacentral:rRNA from 1 species